CAAAUUUGCUGCAAACUAAAUAGAGUGCCACAAAAAGUUGCAAAUGUUUGCCACUAGUGAUAAACAUUUCACCAGAGGAUUUUUACUUGCAAACAAUUCUCUUAAGAAUCUGUAGUAACAAUAUUUAUUGCCACUAGUGGCAAACAGUUUACCAGAAGACCAGCAUCCGUCGAUGACCAAUCAGGGGGAUUCGAAAAAUCUGUCCAGCUACCUACCAAAGUUGUCCUAUCGUUACCCUUCCUGAAACCGUGGUGUUGGAAGAGGCUGUUUUGGGAGGAUGCAUCAACAUCCUAGAAAUAUAAGCAAUCAGUUACAAGGCAAAGAGACAGGCCUUCAAUCAAAACCGAGGACAUAGAAAUGUGUCCACUAGGUCAAGGCUUCUUGCAUGCAUGGCUUUGAGAUGUAAAGUUAACGAUAAUUCACUUUGGAAAAAUAAUAUGAAUUGCCAUAGUAGGCAUAACUUAAUUGUAUGUUGCUUUUCUUUCACCCAAGCCUUAUACACCUGAGUCAGGAAGAAGAGACAAUGGUCAUAUUUUAAAAAGAACAUUUAUUGCCAUAUUAGGUAUACCUCAAUUUGAGGUGGCUUUUCUUUCACCCAAGCCUUAUUUAUACACCUGAGUCAGGAAGAAGAGGCAACUAGUAAAUGACUGUCUCCUUGUACUUGACCUGCAGACUCACCAGACAUGCCACCCAUUGCACACGUUUGGCAAUCUCUGGAUCAACGUGUAGGACAACAUGUUCCAGUUUCCACCAAUAUUCAGCAACUUAGCACAGCCAUUGAAGAGGAGUGGGACAACAUUCCACAGGCCACAAUCAACAGCCUGAUCAACUCUAUGCGAAGGAGAUGUGUCACGCUGCAUUAGGCAAGUGUUGACCAACAGAUGCAUAUCUGUAUUUCCAGUCAUGUGAAAUCCAUAGAUAAGGGCCUAAUGAAUUGUUUUCAAUUGACUGAAUUUCUUAAAGGAACUGUAACCCUGUAAAAUAUUUGACAUUGUUGCAUGUUGGUUUUACUUUUGUUCAGUGUAUAGAAUGCCAGUUUCAGUGAGAAGCAUAGCAACAUCAAGGCAACUUUGUAAUAGCUGACCCUGUUUUCCACUGGUUGAAAGCUAUUGCUCGGUUUUCACUUGGCUCAUGUAAAUUCUAUAGUUUCCCCUUUAAACAUCUUAAGGUCAAAAUCCCCAUAGUGUUCCCAUUUCUCUCAUGUAAAUGUUGUAUCUACAUCAAUAGAUUCGGGAAAUAUCCCAUCUUUUCUUCACAAGCAUUGAGACAUCUGUGGCAUUGUGUUGUGUGACAAAACUACACAUGUUAGCAUGUCCUUUUUAUCCCCAGCACAAUGUGCACCUGUGUAAUGAUCAUGCUUGUUUAAUCGAUG